rnacentral:rRNA from 1 species
AAUGGACGCUAGCGGCAGGCUUAAUACAUGCAAGUCGAGGGGGAUUAACUGGGUAGCAAUACUCGGUUAUGAGACCGGCAAACGGGUGCGGAACACGUACGCAACCUUCCCAAAACUGGUGAAUAGCCCUCCGAAAGGAGGAUUAAUACACCGUAACUUAAUGAAGUGGCAUCACUUUAUUAAUAUAGCUCCGGCGGUUU